CCCUUAGAUGUUCUGGGCUGCACGCGCGCUACACUGAUGCACUCAACGAGUUUACGACCUUGCCCGAUAGGGUUGGGUAAUCUUUUUAAAAUGCAUCGUGAUGGGGAUAGAUUAUUGCAAUUAUUAAUCUUCAACGAGGAUUGCCUAGUAGGCGCAAGUCAUCAGCUUGCGUCGAUUACGUCCCUGCCCUUUGUACACACCGCCCGUCGCUCCUACCGAUUGGGUGUGCUGGUGAAAUGUUCGGAUCGGCCGUUUGUCGCGGUUUCCGCGUCAUGUGGCUGAGAAGUUCAUUAAACCCUCCCACCUAGAGGAAGGAGAAGGCGUAACA
rnacentral:rRNA from 1 species